ensembl:lncRNA
GGGAGAUUCAGAGAAUAUGAGCAGAGGGUUGCCCCAGAUGAGUGAAGGUGGAGCCCUUAAUCAGAAGAGGUCCUGAGGACCUGUGCAUGGUGUGAGAAUAUCCAGCAAGAGAAGAAUGGAGGCUCACAGGAUGAAUGGGCUAAAAGAGCACUAUCAAUGGCUCCAGAAAGUGCACAUCUCAUGCUCUUUACUACUGAAGGCUGUGGCAAGAACUGUUUCUCUCAGUAGCUGAAAUCAAUUUUGGCCCACAGGCCAGGGAGAACAAUUUCCUCACCAAGGCAGGCAGGGGGCGUCUAGAGAGAGAGUGGCAGAUGGAUUUCCCUCCACUUGGAUGACAUCAUGGGAAAGGAAAAGAGGAGAGGAGAAUACUAGGGAAGGUCUAUAUUAUUACCAGAUGAAGAUAACUCAGCUUGAUGUGCUGCUGCCUGUAAUGAAGAGAGAGGAGGAAGGGACAGAAAGAAGGGGAUUGAGUCUGCCAAUAGGAAUUUCCUCUAGGAAGGGGACAGAAGACAAACUAAAGACAUUUUUCACUGUAUAGUUUCUGUACCUUUUUCAUUUGUUCCACAUUAACUAUUCAAAAAACAAAAUAACAUUAAAUUCUUUUC